CCUGAACAAGUAGUUCAAGAGUUUAAGAACAACUUCUCUGAAUGUAAAAUUGCAGGAAUUUCGGGAUUCAUGAUCUACAGCGAAUAAUGUCAUCAAAUGAUUCUGAGAAUCUGGAGAAAUCUCUGCAUAUAAGCACCAAGAACCAAAAACAAAAUUGAAUUCUUGUGAUCCUCAAUCCCUGAAGCGGCACUGAAAUAAAAACAGACUCCACUCUGUUCAGGAUAUUACCAUGUGGGCUCAAGAACACUUCAGAAAACCAUUGUCAAUUAAUACAGUUUGUCGCUACAUCAAGCAGUGCAAGUUCAAACUCUACCAUGCAAAGCCAAAGCCGUAUAUCAACAACAGCCAGAAACACCAUCGGUUUCCCCGGGCCUAAGCUCAUCUGUGAUGGACUGAGGCAAAGUGGAAAAGUGUGCGGUGGUCUACACGUGUUGCAACAGUGUGGCUUUGAAGUAAAAGAGUGGGGGUACUAGACUGGCCUUCCUGCAGUCCAGACCUGUCUCCCACUUAAAAUGUGUGGCACAUUAGGUAGUGCUAAAUAUGACAAUGGAGACCCCAGACUGUUGAACAACUGAAGAUGUACUUACAUUAAGUUUAUCACUUUAUCACAGCAUCAAAUAUCUUGUCUUUUCAGUGAUAUUUGAUUGAAUACAGGUCAAAAAGGAUCUGCAAAGCAUUGCAUUCCGUUUGUAUUCAGGUUUUACACAAUAUCCAAACUUCAUUGGAAUUGAAUUUCACUUCACAACACCUUGAUGGACCAAAGGACCAAUGGUGGUGGAAGGCUCCUCUCUCUUUGCUGCAGGACAGAAAGAUUCAGAGGAUCCUUUGUGCCAACAGCCAUCAGACUGUAUAACUCUUGUGUAAAUAGUAGAUAACUUUUAGAGAUAUAUUAUAUGAGACAACAGACAAUUGAAUUUCCCUUCGGGGAUUAAUAAUGUUCUUCUUAUUCUUCUUAUUAUUUGUAAUUUUGAAAAACAGAGAGCAUAUUUAAGCCCAUAUAGAAGAUGACAAAGUGAGUGUGAGAUAUGACUGAUGUACACUCACCGGCCACUUUAUUAGGUAUACCUGUCCAACUGCUCGUUAACACUUAAUUUCUAAUCAGCCAAUCACAUGGCGGCAACUUAGUGCAUUUAGGCAUGUAGACAUGGUCAAGACAAUCUCCUGCAGUUCAAACCGAGCAUCAGUAUGGGGAAGAAAGGUGAUUUGAGUGACUUUGAACGUGGCAUGGUUGUUGGUGCCAGAAGGGCUGGUCUGAGUAUUUCAGAAACUGCUGAUCUACUGGGAUUUUCACGCACAACCAUCUCUAGGGUUUACAGAGAAUGGUCCGAAAAAGAAAAAAUAUCCAGUGAGCGGCAGUUCUGUGGGCGGAAAUGCCUUGUUGAUGCCAGAGGUCAGAGGAGAAUGGCCAGACUGGUUCGAGCUGAUAGAAAGGCAACAGUGACUCAAAUAACAACCCGUUACAACCAAGGUAGGCAGAAGAGCAUCUCUGAAUGCACAGUACGUCGAACUUUGAGGCAGAUGGGCUACAGCAGCAGAAGACCACACCGGGUGCCACUCCUUUCAGCUAAGAACAGGAAACUGAGGCUACAAUUUGCACAAGCUCAUCGAAAUUGGACAAUAGAAGAUUGGAAAAACGUUGCCUGGUCUGAUGAGUCUCGAUUUCUGCUGCGACAUUCGGAUGGUAGGGUCAGAAUUUGGCGUCAACAACAUGAAAGCAUGGAUCCAUACUGCCUUGUAUCAACGGUUCAGGCUGGUGGUGGUGGUGUCAUGGUGUGGGGAAUAUUUUCUUGGCACUCUUUGGGCCCCUUGGUACCAAUUGAGCAUCGUUGCAACGCCACAGCCUACCUGAGUAUUGUUGCUGACCAUGUCCAUCCCUUUAUGACCACAAUGUACCCAACUUCUGAUGGCUACUUUCAGCAGGAUAAUGUGCCAUGUCAUAAAGCUGGAAUCAUCUCAGACUGGUUUCUUGAACAUGACAAUGAGUUCACUGUACUCAAAUGGCCUCCACAGUCACCAGAUCUCAAUCCAAUAGAGCAUCUUUGGGAUGUGGUGGAACGGGAGAUUCGCAUCAUGGAUGUGCAGCCGACAAAUCUGCGGCAACUGUGUGAUGCCAUCAUGUCAAUAUGGACCAAGCUCUCUGAGGAAUGCUUCCAGCACCCUGUUGAAUCUAUGCCACGAAGAAUUGAGGCAGUUCUGAAGGCAAAAAGGGGUCCAACCCGUUACUAGCAUGGUGUACCUAAUAAAGUGGCCGGUGAGUGUAUAUGAUCUGCAUCUGUGAUUGAAGCAUGCUAUUUAUAUAAUAAAGAAGUCUUGUCCUUCCUCUAGAUGACAGGAAUCUGGCCAGAAUGCAAAUUUAAUGCACUCUGUGUGAAAAAAAAAUGUUAGGAUGAAAUUAGAAUUCUGUGGUUCACACCUACUGAGGUUUCUGAUGUAUACGGCCAACAUUUCAAAGAAAUUCUGCACUGCCAUCUGACUGACUGUCCUUUUGCCAUUGCGAGACUAUCAUCAGAGUGUGAAUGUUAGCAGUGCUUCAAGGAUUAUCUAUAAUACAAGGCUGAACUACUGCUCACAGUAUAAAAUCAUCCAAUUAUGAGCUGCUUUAUAUUGAAGCCCAGCAUGUGGGCACAUUGACCUGGAGAUGUCAGAUCUUUCUUUAUACCCAUUGGUGGAAAACAGUUGGGGUCUCCUGCAGCAUCUGAUUUGACCAACCUUACUUUACAGUGUCAGAAGAGUGCUAGAGUGAAGAAAAGGAUGUUGAAAAGAAGAAAAUAAAGUUGUGCUAAGCAAUGCUCUAUCAGGGGAAGAGUGCUUUAGAGACCCACUCCGAUGAAGAUCGUGUUUUUCUUGUUGUCUUCAUGUUCAUAUGGCAUUUUUUCUGAUGCUACAGGACAUAUCACAAGAAAAGUAAGUGCAAAAUUGCAUUUUGAAGUAUUUCUGCAUUCAAGUGGACAUGAAUCUCUGGCAGACCCAAACGGCAGGCUCAGACACAGCGAGAUUUCCUGCAUUGCAAAUCCAAGCUCUACCCCCAGGAGCCCCGCCAUGCAGGCCACACUCUAAAAUGUAGAGAGAACGUUCGCAGAACAAGCGUGUACAUUAGCAGAUUGCAAUGCUCGUAAGAAAGCUAAUUAUGAUAUUAACUUUCAUCAUGUCCUUAAAGACAUUGGCGUCUGAGAGCUGAAUAGCUCCUAUGUUACCUGCUUCUUCUACCACACCGGCAAUUUUAGGACGCAAGCUAGCAUGAAGAGGAGUGUGCAGAGCUGUUAUGUCUCCGCCCACAACUCAGA